UACGGAGGAUGCGAGCGUUAUCCGGAUUUAUUGGGUUUAAAGGGUGCGUAGGCGGCUUUUUAAGUCAGCGGUGAAAUUUUGCAGCUUAACUGUAACAGUGCCGUUGAUACUGGGGAGCUAGGAUUUGGUUGCUGUGGGCGGAAUGUGUCAUGUAGCAGUGAAAUGCAUAGAGAUGACACAGAACACCGAUAGCGAAGGCAGCUCACAAAGCUAUUACUGACGCUGAUGCACGAAAGCGUGGGGAUCAAA
rnacentral:rRNA from 1 species